GACGAACGCUGGCGGCGUGCCUAAUACAUGCAAGUAGGACGCUGAAGGAGGAGCUUGCUUCUCUGGAUGAGUUGCGAACGGGUGAGUAACGCGUAGGUAACCUGCCUGGUAGCGGGGGAUAACUAUUGGAAACGAUAGCUAAUACCGCAUAAUAGUAGAUGUUGCAUGACAUUUGCUUAAAAGGUGCAAUUGCAUCACUACCAGAUGGACCUGCGUUGUAUUAGCUAGUUGGUGGGGUAACGGCUCACCAAGGCGACGAUACAUAGCCGACCUGAGAGGGUGAUCGGCCACACUGGGACUGAGACACGGCCCAGACUCCUACGGGAGGCAGCAGUAGGGAAUCUUCGGCAAAGGACGGAAGUCUGACCGAGCAACGCCGCGUGAGUGAAGAAGGUUUUCGGAUCGUAAAGCUCUGUUGUAAGAGAAGAACGAGUGUGAGAGUGGAAAGUUCACACUGUGACGGUAUCUUACCAGAAAGGGACGGCUAACUACGUG
rnacentral:rRNA from 1 species